rnacentral:rRNA from 1 species
GAUGAACGCUGGCGGCGUGCUUAACACAUGCAAGUCGAACGAAGCAUUUAAGCGGAAGUUUUCGGAUGGAAGCUUUUAUGACUGAGUGGCGGACGGGUGAGUAACGCGUGAGCAACCUGCCAUACAGUGGGGGAUAACACAGGGAAACUUGUGCUAAUACCGCAUGACACAUUGGGUUCGCAUGUUUCUGAUGUCAAAGAGCAAUUGCUGUAUGAUGGGCUCGCGUAUGAUUAGACAGUUGGCAGGGUAACGGCCUACCAAAUCUACGAUCAUUAGCCGAACUGAGAGGUUGAACGGCCACAUUGGAACUGAGAAACGGUCCAGACUCC